CCUACGGGGUGCAGCAGUGGGGAAUAUUGCGCAAUGGGCGAAAGCCUGACGCAGCGACGCCGCGUGAGGGAUGAAGGUCUUCGGAUCGUAAACCUCUGUCAGCAGGGAAGAACGGUCACUGUGCUAAUCAGCAGUGAAUUGACGGUACCUGCAAAGGAAGCACCGGCUAACUCCGUGCCAGCAGCCGCGGUAAUACGGAGGGUGCGAGCGUUAAUCGGAAUUACUGGGCGUAAAGCGCUCGUAGGCGGUAUGUCAAGUCAAGGGUGAAAUCCCCGCGCUCAACGUGGGAACUGCCUUUGAAACUGGCAAACUGGAGUGUGUGAGAGGUUAGUGGAAUUCCAGGUGUAGGAGUGAAAGCCGUAGAUAUCUGGAGGAACAUCAGUGGCGAAGGCGACUAUCUGGCACAUAACUGACGCUGAGGAGCGAAAGCGUGGGUAGCAAACAGGAUUAGAUACCCGGGUAGUC
rnacentral:rRNA from 1 species